rnacentral:rRNA from 1 species
GCCUAGCCCUAAAUCUUGAUGUUUCUCUCCUACAAAAACAUCCGCCUGAGAACUACGAGCACAAACGCUUAAAACUCUAAGGACUUGGCGGUACCCUAAACCCACCUAGAGGAGCCUGUUCUAUAAUCGAUAACCCACGAUACACCCAACCACUUCUUGCCAAAACAGCCUACAUACCGCCGUCGCCAGCCCACCUUCCUGAAAGUACAACAGUGAGCUUAAUAACCCUUUUUCGUUAACAAGACAGGUCAAGGUAUAGCCUACGAAGUGGAAGAAAUGGGCUACAUUUUCUAAGAUAGAAAAAGCAACGGAAGAGGACAUGAAAUUUGUCCUCAGAAGGCGGAUUUAGCAGUAAAGUGGGAUAAUAACGCCCUCUUUAAGCUGGCCCUAGGGU